rnacentral:rRNA from 1 species
AUUGAACGCUGGCGGCAGGCCUAACACAUGCAAGUCGAACGAGUGGCGGACGGGUGAGUAAUGUCUGGGAAACUGCCCGAUGGAGGGGGAUAACUACUGGAAACGGUAGCUAAUACCGCAUACCAUCGGAUGUGCCAAGAUGGGCUUAGCUAGUAGGUGGGGUAACGGCGCACCUAGGCGACGAUCCCUAGCUGGUCUGAGAGGAUGACCAGCCACAAUGGAACUGAGAAACGUCCAGACUCCGACGGGAGGCAGCGGGGGGGAAUAUUGCACAAUGGGCGCAAUCGUGAUGCAGCCAUGCCGCGUGUAUGAAGAAGGCCUUCGGGUUAUAAAGUACUUGCAGAGAGGAGGCGUUACUCGCAGAAGAAGCACCGGCUAACGCUGUGCCAGCAGCCGCGGUAAUAC